CAUGAGCAGAGGGGUAAAGAAGGAGGUGGUAUGAGUUUAAGGAGGGCUGUGGGGAACAGCUCUUGAUCUCAACUGUAGCAUGCAUUCAGGUCCACAAACAUCUGGUUGCAGGGGCCUGGCAAAGUGUAUCCGCAACUUUCCUAUACCCACUUCACAUCUCUAGCACUGUCAGAAGAAAAGCAGUCAGCUGAAAGGGAAGUGGUGGGUGAAAUCAAAGCAUUCACUCUCAUCAGCUGCUCUCCGUCCUCUUCAGAGAUCAUGGAAAUGCCACCAGCUAAGGGAGGAAGGGUGAGUGAGUAGCAGCGCUCCCUUCUCAGCAAUGGGACAGUCCCUGACAGAGGCUGCUGACAUGCACCAAGGUGGACAAAUCUACUCUUCUCUCUCUGAUCUCUCUUCAAGAGAAAGGUGAAGACCCUGACCAUCACCCUCUAGGUGGAGAGCAGCGACACCAUCGACAAUCUCAAGGCCAAGAUCCAGGAUAAGGAAGGCAUUCCUCCUGACCAGCAGAGGCUCAUCUUCGCUGGCAAGCAGCUGGAAGAUGGCCGUACUCUUUCUGACUACAACAUCCAGAAAGAGUCUACCUUGCACCUUGUCCUGCGUCUGAGAGGUGGCUGUUAAUUCACAGUGCCUGAUGGCAUUACUCUGCACUAUAGCCAUUUGCCCCAAUUUAAGUUUAGAAAUUACCAGCUUCAGUAAUAGCUGAAUCUGUUCAAAAUAUUAAUAAACAUUUUGUUGCAUGAUAAAAAAAA